GACGAACGCUGGCGGCGUGCCUAAUACAUGCAAGUCGAACGCUUCUUUCCUCCCGAGUGCUUGCACUCAAUUGGAAAGAGGAGUGGCGGACGGGUGAGUAACACGUGGGUAACCUACCCAUCAGAGGGGGAUAACACUUGGAAACAGGUGCUAAUACCGCAUAACAGUUUAUGCCGCAUGGCAUAAGAGUGAAAGGCGCUUUCGGGUGUCGCUGAUGGAUGGACCCGCGGUGCAUUAGCUAGUUGGUGAGGUAACGGCUCACCAAGGCCACGAUGCAUAGCCGACCUGAGAGGGUGAUCGGCCACACUGGGACUGAGACACGGCCCAGACUCCUACGGGAGGCAGCAGUAGGGAAUCUUCGGCAAUGGACGAAAGUCUGACCGAGCAACGCCGCGUGAGUGAAGAAGGUUUUCGGAUCGUAAAACUCUGUUGUUAGAGAAGAACAAGGACGUUAGUAACCGAACGUCCCCUGACGGUAUCUAACCAGAAAGACACGGCUAACUACGUG
rnacentral:rRNA from 1 species